GAUGAACGCUAGCUACAGGCUUAACACAUGCAAGUCGAGGGGAAACGACAUCGAAAGCUUGCUUUUGGUGGGCGUCGACCGGCGCACGGGUGAGUAACGCGUAUCCAACCUGCCCACCACUUGGGGAUAACCUUGCGAAAGUAAGACUAAUACCCAAUGAUAUCCCACGAAGGCAUCCGAAUGGGAUUAAAGAUUUAUCGGUGAUGGAUGGGGAUGCGUCUGAUUAGCUUGUUGGCGGGGUAACGGCCCACCAAGGCAACGAUCAGUAGGGGUUCUGAGAGGAAGGUCCCCCACAUUGGAACUGAGACACGGUCCAAACUCCUACGGGAGGCAGCAGUGAGGAAUAUUGGUCAAUGGAGGUAACUCUGAACCAGCCAAGUAGCGUGCAGGAUGACGGCCCUAUGGGUUGUAAACUGCUUUUAUGCGGGGAUAAACUGACUCACGUGUGGGUCAUUGCAGGUACCGCAUGAAUAAGGACCGGCUAAUUCCCGUG
rnacentral:rRNA from 1 species